CCACUUCCCCAGAGCCCCAUCCCACUAGGGAAAGAGAGAGGCAGGCUGGGAGUAUGGAUCAACCUGUCAGUGCCCAUGUUCAGCGGGAAGCAAGUCGCUUCACAAGCGAUAGGAGAAGAGAAAGAGCCAGACAUCACUCUGGUACAUGUGCUGCCAGAGAUCAAACUCAGGACCUCAUGCUUAUCCACUGCACCACCUCUUGGAGCACAAGGUUCCAGAUGCUAACAUGAUGCCGACCAGACUUCCCUGGACAGACAACACCACCAAUGUGUCCUGGAGUUCUGAUUCCACAGAGCCCUUCCCCACUAAGGAAAGAGAAAGACAGGCUGGGAGUAUGGAUCGACCUGUCAACGCCCAUGUUCAGCAGGGAAGCAAUUAUAGAAGCCAGACCGUCCACCUUCUGCAUCCCACAAUGACCUUGGGUCCAUAUUCCCAGAGGGUUAAAGAAUAGGAAAGCUAUCAGGGGAGGAGGUGGGAUACAGAGUUCUGGUGGUAGGAAUUGUGCGAAGUUGUACCCUUCUUAUCCUAUGGUUUAGUCAAUGUUUCCUUUUUAUAAAUA